rnacentral:rRNA from 1 species
UACAGAGGUCCCGAGCGUUGUUCGGAUUCACUGGGCGUAAAGGGUGCGUAGGUGGCUUGGUCAGUUUGAUGUGAAAGCUCCGAGCUUAACUUGGAAAUGGCAUUGAAUACUACUGAGCUGGAGGAUUGGAGGGGGGACUGGAAUACUUGGUGUAGCAGUGAAAUGCGUAGAUAUCAAGUGGAACACCAGUGGCGAAGGCGAGUCCCUGGACAAAUCCUGACACUGAGGCACGAAAGCUAGGGGAGCAAACAGG